UACGUAGGGGGCAAGCGUUGUCCGGAUUUACUGGGCGUAAAGAGCGUGUAGGCGGCCAAGCAGGUCCGUUGUGAAAACUGGAGGCUUAACCUCCAGACGUCGACGGAAACCGCGCGGCUAGAGUCCGGAAGAGGAGAGUGGAAUUCCUGGUGUAGCGGUGAAAUGCGCAGAUAUCAGGAAGAACACCAAUGGCGAAGGCAGCUUGCUGGGCCGCCCCUGACGCUGAGGCACGAAAGCGUGGGGAGCGAACAGG
rnacentral:rRNA from 1 species